AGAAAAAUAUGGUCAGUUCCACCAGAAUGCUCUUAAGAUUACAUAUAUCACAUUUGUAUGGUCACAUGUCCCAUGCAAUCAGGGAGUGAGAGAUGGAGGGGGUUGCUGCCAGACAGAGAAAAACAAGGUGGUAAUUUCCAACUACACGAAUUGCAUUUUUUGGGGGGAAAGAUGCAUAUAGAAGUUAAUGAAUGAAACCACUCUGCUGAUGCAAGAAAAAGACAGUCAGAGUUAGCAAAGAUAUUAUGCAAAAGGAACUUUCAUCUAAACAAAACCCUAUGAUAGAGAACCUCCUUAAUUGUUCAGACUGAAGGAACACUUUAAGUACCCAUUCUGUCUGUAGGCAGGCCUGUUGACAUGGGGGAAAAAGGAGGAUGCCAAUUGUAAGGAGAAAAUGCUGUACGUUUGAUGGCCAGAGGUAAAAGCAAACGCAUGUUAUUUUGACCAACCAAUUUUGUGGCUACCAGUGCUACUUUCAGCCACCAUACUUGGUCAAAUCUGUAACUGGUGAAGGGUUAAAGAAAUAAUAAGUUGUCUAGAUCCACCAUUUUGAGCUAGUUCAUGCCAUGAAUAGCUUUUGUCCACCAUAAUUAGAAAAAAUAUUGCUAGUGGCAAAAGGAAGGAAAGGAUGUUGCUGAGGCCCAUCAUACUAGGGCAAUUUCAUGGCAUGCACAAUGGUCAUGUUUAAGAUUCGCAAAUUAGCCAGAUUCAUGGCUAAUUUUGAGAUAAAGGAAAACCAAUAAUUCGCCAAAGCCAUGGCAUCUAGUGCUUACUUUGACUGCCAUACUCAGCUAACUUCAUGCUUGGAAUUGGACAAAAGAGGCUUAAUUAUUUGGGCCCACCAUUCUUAGACAUUCUUGGCUUGUGAUGAGCUUUGGUUGAUCACACCUAGCCAAACUCAUGACUAGCAGUGGAUGAAACUGCAAUAUCAGUUUAAUUAUAGGUAUCACUUUCUGUCAUAUGCCAGACCUAAACCAAAUAGCAUAAAAUAUUGUUCAAUUAAUGAUUGCAAGGAAUAAGGAAUCUGCAACCAAUGGAAGGGACCUCUCCAGGACCAGACUAGGUGAAGAUGGUACUCUUAUCCCCAAAAAUCCAAUCCUAUGAUCAAACCAGGCCUAGUUGAAUAAUUAUAAAUACAAUAGAUGGGUUCAUUCAUGUGCAUUUGUGUUUGUGUGUGUGUGCAUGAGAAUGCAGCAUAUUACAUACAAUCAUUUUUUUUAUGACCCAAUUUACCAUGUAAGUAGGUAGACAUAAAAAAGUUUCACCAUAAUUAGGACUGUGUAGAUGAUAACGAAGUUUAGGUUAGAACUUUGAUUGAUCAUCACAUGCUAAUGAGGCUCCAAUUAAAUCUUUAGUAGCCGAUCGGUGCAAACAUAAGAAAAGCAUUGAUUAAAAGAAUACAGUUUUGAUUGGUAGAGUGGGGGGUGGGGGGUGCGGGGGAGUUAAAUCAAAACUAUGAAAAACUAAAUGAUUUAGCAAUAGACAAGGUGUUAAACACAGAUCCUCACAAGGGGCUACUUUAGCUUUUGGUUUACAUUUCUGAAAAGAAGUGGCUUCCAAGAAAUAAAACAAUAGCAUGAUGAUGAUGGAGAAACCUGCUAUGAUAGCAAUAACAAUUGAUAAUAAAAAUGGGUAAGUCUUGACUCAUUACAUAGAUUUGGCAUCCUAAAAGGAGGAAAAAGAAAACAUAGAAACAAAGGAAGCAUUGUUUCAUACUUUUAUACAACCAUGGAAUUAAUUAACAAUGAAAUUGGGUCUUAUCUAGACAUAAUUUGAUUGUGAUCCAACACACAAAAACAAGGCUUACUUCAGACAGGGUACUUACUACUUAAACCAUAUCUUUAUAGCUGCUAAAUGGA